UACGGAGGAUCCGAGCGUUAUCCGGAUUUAUUGGGUUUAAAGGGUGCGCAGGCGGGGUAUUAAGUCGGCGGUGAAAUUUUGCAGCUCAACUGUAAAAGUGCCUUCGAAACUGGUUUCCUUGAGUGUAGAUGAAGUAGGCGGAAUUUGUGGUGUAGCGGUGAAAUGCAUAGAUAUCACGAGGAACUCCGAUUGCGCAGGCAGCUUACUAAACUACUACUGACGCUCAGGCACGAAGGCGUGGGGAUCAAACAGGAUUAGAUACCCGGUAGUCCCU
rnacentral:rRNA from 1 species